rnacentral:tmRNA from 1 species
CCCCUUUUCAAACCGCCCGGCAGCCCCUAUCUAUGGAAUGUCCCGCAAGGGACUAUGGUGAUAAACGCGCAUGUAAUAAACGGAUCGGACCCGGGGGCGGUACCCGGCGGCUCCACCAAAAACCCUUCAUUUGGGGGUGCAUGGGGCCGAAACAGGAUCGACGGACGUCUAAAGAUGUUAGCUUUCACUCGGCGGGAUGCCACCGUUAUCGGUUCACCUAAGCUAGUUGCAAAUGACAACAAAGCUCCGAUGGCUCUCGCAGCGUAAGCUGUGCGAAAAGUCGAAAUCUAAGUCCUAAGGCUUUGCAGCUUUGGGCGGGGUUCGCAGGCACCUGGCAACAGAAGCCUGCACU